CUUUGAGAAACAUAUCCUUUCUGGUAUUCACUAUUUUAAUGAAUCUUUAUGUGGUGAGCAAAAGGUAAAUAUCUUGGAAGGAUGCCUCUAAUGCAUAUUCAUGGUGAGAACAGAUAACAGAAAAAUAUUUCCAAUGGCUACAUAGAAC
rnacentral:lncRNA from 1 species